rnacentral:rRNA from 1 species
UUCCGGUUGAUCCUGCCGGGGAUCACUGCUAUUGGAGUUCGCUUAAGCCAUGCGAGUCGAGAGGGUUCGGCCCUCGGCAAACGGCUCAGUAACACGUGGAUAAUCUGCCCUGAGGUGGGGGAUAACCUCGAGAAAUUGAGAAUAAUACCCCAUAGACCAGAUCUUCUGGAAGGCCUUCUGGUUCAAAGCUCCGGCGCCUCAGGAUGAGUCUGCGGCCUAUCAGGUUGUAGUGAGUGUAACGGACUCACUAGCCGACGACGGGUACGGGCAGUGGGAGCUGUCGCCCGGAGAUGGAUUCUGAGACACGAAUCCAGGCCCUACGGGGCGCAGCAGGCGCGAAAACUUCGCAAUGCGGGAAACCGCGACGAGGGAACUCCAAGUGCCUUGCAAUUUGUAAGGCUGUUUCCAUGUCUAAAUUGCAUGGAGAGUAAGGGCUGGGUAAGACUGGUGCCAGCCGCCGCGGUAAUACCAGCAGCUCAAGUGGUGAUCCUUAUUAUUGGGCCUAAAGCGUCCGUAGCCGGUUUGGUAAAUCCUUGGGUAAAUCGUACCGCUUAACGGUACGAAUUCUGGGGAGACUGCCAAACUUGGGACUGGGAGAGGUCGGAGGUACUCCAGGGGUAGGGGUGAAAUCCUGUAAUCCUUGGGGGACCACCAGUGGCGAAGGCGUCCGACUAGAACGGAUCCGACGGUGAGGGACGAAGCCGUGGGGCACAAACCGGAUUAGAUACCCGGGUAGUCCACGGUGUAAACGCUGCGAGCUUGGUGUUGGAGGUCCUACGAGGGCGUCCAGUGCCGGA